GAAUUGCUAGUAAUCGCAGAUCAGCAUGCUGCGGUGAAUACGUUCCCGGGCCUUGUACACACCGCCCGUCACACCAUGGGAGUCGGUAACACCCGAAGUCGGUAGCCUAACCGUAAGGAGGGCGCCGCCGAAGGUGGGAUUGAUGACUGGGGUGAAGUCGUAACAAGGUACC
rnacentral:rRNA from 1 species